AUACUUUAACUGAAAAUCUGAGAUUGUAGUAAAAGCUUUUCCUUUUUAAACUAUUUUUAGAGCAUUUUAAAAUAAAGUGACCUAAUGUACAUAUUAAAAAUGAUACAUUUAAAUAGCAAAUUGUCUGUCUUGCUUAGAAAUAAUUUGAUGCCUUAGUGACUUAAAGAUGACUCUAAUUUUUGUUUCAGACAAGUAUGAAGUGGAUUCACAUCUGAUUUCCUGCUUCUGCUGGUCAAGUGCACCUGAGUUACACUUACCCCUCACUGCAAGGGUAUGGAAACGUUGUGCUACUUUUAAUCACUUUCACCGGAAUAUGCAGUAGCAGCUGCUGCUCACAGAUGACAUGCUGGUCUCAGCACUUGACAGCCUGGCUCCUGCUCUCGGUGGAAAUGCUGCAAAAAGCUCCUGCUUGCUCAGGUGAUGGUGAACGGACCUUUCCUUGGGCUGUGGCAGAUGAACACUUGCAACAGGCUCAUCAGGAAUUUUGGCAAAGCGCAUUUCAAAAACAUCCUAAAGAGUUAGGUUUGAAGAUGGCAGAGAGGUGACAGGAAGGGGAUAUAUUUACUGAGAUGGAAAUUAUUCCUGUAUUUGAAGCAGAGCAAGUGAUAGAAGCCUUGUUCAAUGAUAAAAAGCAAGGAAGGGGAGUGCAGUUCUCUGUAGUCUCAGUGCUUGCUGCAAGUUCUGGUUCUGUCUGGCUGUGACCUGCGGGCAUGGAGCUGCAAACAGGACUUCUGGCAGUUCUCCCAAAGGUAGUGACUGGGCAGAGAAGGCCACAAAAAAGUGGGAAGAGGCCGUCACCUUUGUGGUUUUAUCCUCAUCCAGUAUCCGUUAUUUCCAAACAGUCCUAGUGCCAUCUGCUUAUGUGAGAAAUUAGAAUAAUAUUCCGGUUGUGUUCCAGAAAAUGAAUUUUUACCAGCCUGACAGGGUGUUUGAGAUGGAGUGGUAUUUUAGUGGCAGGGUUCUUGACAGUUUUGUUUUCCUGUGUUGGGUUGGACUGUGUCUUUCUGAAGAUGCCUUAUUCAGCAAAGCCUUUCAAUUGCAUCUGUCUGGGACGCUGUAAGGCGACAUCUGAGGUAGUAGCCCAAGAUUCCAUGAAUGUGGUGAAUAUCAUAAAAAUAGAUGGAUUAACCUGGAUGGGGUGUUAUAUUUGAAAUUAUUGAUCUAUUUAGAAUGUUAAAGCAAGUAUCACUGAUCAUUCUUAAACGUCUAUAAAGGUAGGAAGUAUGUUAUGAGUGGGAUCUCAGCUACUGAACAAAGACAUUUGAAGGUCCUGUGGGUAGAAAUUGAAUUUUAAAAUGCUUACUAAGGAGAUGUAAACUAGUGAGCUAUGUAUUUCUUGUUGUCUUUAAAGAAAAAGAUGGUAUCUUGCUACAGGGUAUAUUUUCGAGUUGCUAUAGAUUGUGUUGGCUGAGAUUUGCAAGUUUUAUACAUUCUGGUGAAAAUUUCUCUUGCAGAUAACCAUUUAUCCCUGAAUCAUGAGGAACUCUUCCUGAUUAUAAACAUCCAUGUAAAAAUUGACUUGCAGUGAUAAGCAAUGCCAAUUGCACACCGGCUCAUUACGUAUUGACAACUGAGGUUCAGAAAUUAAAAACAGCAUUAUCAAAAAGAAAUUUAGGGAGGGUGUUUGGGUUGUUUUAUUCUAUUUUUUAAACUAUGAUCGGAAGGACAUUGCUGACUUAAAUCUCCUCUUGCCACCAGAUCACUUAUAAAUCAGAUCCUUGUCAGUUUGUUGUUUUGGUUGAUUUUACUUUAUUUAUUUUAUUUUAUUGCCCUGUACUUAACUUCUAGCACUUUGUAGGUUUAAUCAUAUAUGGAGAGUGCUAUCCUAGAUAGUGGCAUUAGUUUGAUGUAUAUGUUAAUAAUUCACAUAGAUAUAUGCUUACUUUUUGGUUUUGGCUGUUAGUCUGAGACUGCUGAAUCAGCCUCGUAAAACAUGAGAUACAAACAAAAUUGAAACCUUGUGAACGAAGACUUUGAUUUAUUACAGUCGAAUGGUAUUUCCCAAAAGCAUUCACUUAAGACAUGUUAAUUUUGUUCUCCCAAUGAACAUUUAAAGCACUGCUUAGCACCGCACACAUAACUGUGCGAGUAACAAGCUGGGUUGACUCUACAUUGCAGCUGGCUGGGAUGAUGAACAUGUUACUAAUUACUGUGCCUCAGCUGACACCUGAGAACUUUGAACUGCUCUGACACAGUUGCAAGCUAUUGUGUGUUCAUACCCUUCAUGACCUGGGCUAACCCAAACCAGAUCUGGCUAAAAUGAAUUUCAGUACAAUUGUUUGCAUUAAUAAAGUUUUCUCAAAGUUAUGCUUGAUAUGCAAUACUUGAGGUGAUGAUUGAGGAGUUACGCCCCCAGGCUCUGUGUCUGAUUUCUCUGCAAGAGAUUGCUACCCUUGCAGCAGAACAGCAUGAAAUGUAUCCGGAAUGAGCUCUCAAAACGCAUACUGAACGAGCUCUCCUCCCUUCCAGUCCCAGAUCCUUCACCAAGUAGCACUUAGAGAUCUCCAACAAAGUAUCUUGCUGUGCGUUUCCUGAUUAUGUCCAGUGUUCUACACUGUUGCAAUUUUCUACCAGUAGAUGUCAGCUCAGAACUGGUGAAAGUUUAUUCUGUUUCUUUCAAGGUAAUUAAAAUCAGUGGUUCUGCGGGUUUGGCCUUCACUUUUGUUAUCAGGUUGGUUGUUGAGAAUAUCAGAAAGCACAAUAUCACUAUUCAGACAUUCAAUGUAUGACCGGUGCGACAUUUGUAAAGAGAUAAUUCAGACUGAAUAGACGUGUGAUUGAAUAAAAGGAAGCCAGUUAUUCUGUUGGAAACUGAACUUUAAAGAAAGAUUUUUCAAGAUCGCACUCUGGUUCCAAGUCGACAUACUUCUAGAUUAAGCUAAUAGCCAGGGCAAAGGAACCACUGUGGUGCAGAGGGCGGUAGUAAUUUGUGGCAGCCUCUCCGCUGCCAGAAACAGAAUUACUGGAACAUUCAGAGGAGUCUCUGCCCCAGUGUGAGACAAUGUGAAGAGAGGAUGUGCUUGGUCUGUACUGCUCUGUUGGCAUUUUUUCUUUGUUUCUUUUCUUAGAAUUAUAGGCCUAUUUGUGGCUUGUAUGUGUUGCUGGAACAUCAUCUGAUGUGCCAUAGCACUGUCUCUGCUUGUUUUAUGGCAUCUGCUCUGCAGGCGAUUGGAAAGACUUAAUACUUUGCCCCUGGGAGAUGUUCUUGCUUCAGUGCGUUCCUGUGCUUUGUGAGCCGGCAUGGAUGGGGCAGUCAGAAAUUCCUGCUUUGGGGACAGAAGCGUGCUAUCCCACUGUGCUGUAGCCGUCUCUCUUGAGGAGUCCUGGAGGCCUACCCAGAGGUGUUAGUGCCCCAGCCAUGGAGCGGUGCCGAAUUGGUCUGUGCUGCACUGGGAGGGGUUGCUGUGCCCCGUGAAGCAGGGACUUUGGCUCACUGCCACCUCUAACUGAGGAUUGCCCUGUUCUAUGUGUUCCUGAGCCUUGUCUGCUCAAACCUGCGUUUUAGAAGUGAAUUGGUUGCUCUUGCUGGAGAGUAUAACAGUUUCUAAAAUACCACAAUGGAAAAAAGAACUAAUAUUUGAGGCCAAUGGGAAUAUUCCACCUCUCUGUGCCAAGGAGCCUGUGAAGGGAGCAGUGUAUCAGCAAAUGGAGAGGCUUAGUAAGUGACCAGUGCAGUCCUCAGGAGUUUUCUCUGUCCAGAAAUCUAAUAGACUGUUACUGCCCUUGCUCUAACUCUAAUAAAUAAUUCUGGCCAGCAUUAUUUAUUGGGGAGGAGAAAUGAUAAUACAGGGCUGCAGUGGGAUGCAGAUGCUUGCACUGGAAGAAUGGCUUUUCCCCCUUCACCCUCUUACCUCAGCUGUUUUCUGCACAUAAAUGAGGAAGGGUAAGCAGCAUGGAUGUACAGCUCAAUACAGCUCUGCUCUUGCAAUAGUAACACUCUGCUUGUUGGAAAUGUUUAGCACCAAAUUAGAGCGGUGUUAUGUGACUUUUGUGCAGGGUGAGGUGUUGUGUUAGCUAAACCUGCAGUCCAUAGUGAAGGAAUGAAGAACCUUGCACGGGAGAAGAUGAGAGGUCCUUGCUGAGCCCCACUCUUGCAGCUCGGACUGUCCCAACUUCUGCAUGUCCUUGGCCGCUGCCCAAAGCUGAGCAGCUGGUACCGGGCAGCUCUGCAGGUGGCACAGAGAACAGGCUGCUGGGGUUGAGAGUGCACCUGUGACACCUGUGUGCUGCUGCUGACCCAGCUCAAGGGCUGGAGCGGGCAGGGGGCGUAUGGGGAGGCGUGUGUCCGGGUGAGAGAGCCGUGGCUAAACUCUGGAGCGCGUGGACAAGGAAUAAUGAGCAGAGAGAAGGGAAGAGUGUUUUGGUACAGCCUUUAUUUUAACCGAUGCUAAGUCAAAUGUUUUUUCAGUAACAAGAUAUAAUAAUAUUUAUUUAAAUGUGGAGGACCAACUGCUCCACAGGGUGUGUGCAGAAACUUCCAUAUCUAAUUCUCUGAAUCCUGCACUUGGUCUUUCAGCAUGGAAUUGCACUGUGCAUAUCUGGUUUUCUUCAGGGAAGGGUCAAAAUAUGUUAAAAUAAUCUUUUAAAACAAAAAAUAAAAUGUUGAGGCUUUGUGGGGAAGAAAGAAGCUGAAGGCAAGUUGUAGAUAGGAAAACUGCCUGGGUUUGUUUUUUGAGAUAUAUGGCUGGCUGGAGUCUGUGUUUUAGCUUAAACAAGGGUAAUACAAUUUGUGCAAGACUGUGACAGCAGAGCAUAUUUAUCUAACUUUUGUUUAUUAUUAUUAUCUAGUUUUCUGAAUUUCUAAAUCUCUGUUUCAACAUAUUUAGAAUUCCUGUUACAUUUUCACAGGACACUGCAUUUUGUGUUAUGCAUUUGGUUGUAUUGCACGUGCAAGGGUUACAAGAAAGGCCCUAUAUGUGCAUUACUGCUGUACCUUUAUAUUUAUCUGCAUGCCAAGAUUAAUCCAAGAUGCGGUAAUGUUUUGCCUCAGAGCAAUUGUACCAAUGAACCUUGACCCUGAUCUUAAGAGACUUACUCUCUGUUCCUGUGACAGUUUGUUUAUUCUUCACUUCAGGGCCUCUUUUGAGCUAAAACAGCCAUUAAGAGCAAAUUGUUCCGGACAGCUUUUCUGCCUCUGAGUAACAAAAACUGUGCAACUUAUUUUCAUUUCUGCCUAUACAUUUCCAGGUGAUUCCUGCAAAUAUAAAUCCACUGUACUAUCCGUCUAGCACUGGAAUAUUCUAAAUGUGGAGAAGUGAUGUGUGACCUUCCAGUGUUUGUAAGAGUUGCUGUAUGCAGGGGACAAAGCCCACUGCACUUUGUGUACUUACAAUUGUGAAUACAAUGUAUUUGAUAUCUGUACUGGAGGAAAAAAAUACAUCAAGGUACUUCAUAUAUUUUCAGUUAUUUGCGUAGGUUCUUAUGCUGUGUGAGUGGCAGGCAAAAUCAUAACUGUAUUGUAAAAGAAUGUUGAGGGUUUGGUCCUAAGAUAGAUCAAAAACCCCCUAAUUCCAUGGAAGGUAUAAGUGCUCUGUAUUUCUUCAAGUAUUUGACUAAUCCAAUGAAUUAACUUUAAAAAUAUUAAAAAUUAUUAAAACAAAUACAUACUUUCAAAAAGUGAGAUUAUAUCCCUGUAUUAAACAGUAAAUAUUUUUUUAUUAUUGUAAGAAAAAUAAAUCAUCUGUGAAGGGUAAAAGCACAGAAAUGGAAAAGGAUUGUUUGCCUGUAGUACAGGGGAGAUAUCAAGGGAAAAAUGGAGCCCCCUUCAGCUGUUAUUAAUAAGAGCUGGAUCAAAUGCGGGAUUUCUUACAGCUCUCAUGAGGCACCACAGCUCUUGACUUCACUAAUCAAGAAUUGAAACUAAAUAAUUAUGAACUAUAUCUGUCUCUUCACUAAAUAAUAACUCCUGAGUAGAUUUAACAUGGUAAAACUUGCUUUAUUAAACCUGUUUUAAUUAACCAAAUACCUUACAUUGUUUCAGAUACUGCUAUACUGUUUCUUCUUAUAGGCAAACUACUGAAACGGAGACAAAGGUUGCUUUAGGAAUAUAGAACUACUUAUUUUAGAAGUGUAUCUAAAAUUAAAAUAAAUAGAGAGGAAGCUAUUGAUCUUUUUCAAGCUAAAAUCUCAGACUUACACUGCAAAUAGUUUUAUAGUAGAAUAAUAAAUUGACUGCCCUUUAAAAAACAUGUUUUGUGGAAUUGUAGUUGCAACAUAAUUCACAUAUUGCUGGAAAGGAGGCUUUUUCUUUUUUUCCAGAGAUUUUUGUCUGCUGCUGCCACACAUCCGAGGCAGCAGUUAUGCCUGUAGUAUGGCAAGUAUUCUUCCUAACAUAGCCGAGACUAACAUAUAACCACAUCCUAACAUAAGUGAGAAUUUACACUACUUAGAAUGAAGAAAAAAUAUUAUACUUAUAUAGAUCAUAUGCAGAAUUUUUAUGCAAUCUCUGAUUUUUUUUUUUUUAGUGGAAGUAUUUGUAUUGUUAACUGUAAUUGAAGUUUUUAUCUUGUCUCCUCUAUUUCUAUUUAUUAGAAGUUAUGAUCUAGGAAAAUAUGAACAAGUGACAAUCUGAUGGUUUCAUGUUGCAUUUCAUUAAUUUUAAAACUGCAAAAUUGUAAACUAUACAGUAUUAAUUCUGAAUAAAUUUAUUUAAAGACAGUUGGAUAGAUGGAGGGUUGAAGUGGGGUCUUACAGGAUACUUAAGGUAUUCCGUGAACACUUUGUACGACAUGCAUUAAUGGUAAAUUUUGUGAAGUGUUAAGUGUUGAUGGAUGCGAUGAACAGAGCUGAGAAUUAGUUUCAUUACAGCUGCAGCGGUUUGUAAAUAUGAAGGUUAUGACAGCUUAGAGAAGCCAAACCCAAGGAAUUAUUGCAGAAUGAGCACCUGCUUGUCAGCUACGCUACAAGAAAAAUGAAACACUAAGAGAAAUCUCCCUGUUUUUUCCGUGCGAAGUCUGCUUAUAUUCAGGUAUUAUAGUCCUGUAGUGAUGAUCUGAGGACUUAAGCAGAUUUUACAACAUGAAGAAAUCUUGUCUUGUCUGUAUGGUUUUACAGACAAUUUUACAGAAUAUGUAAAUUUCACAGGUGGCACACUGUUAGCUGUACUUUUCAGCAAAAUUAUGUAGGAACAUAAAUAAUUCUAAUAUUUAAUGAAAUAUGAAUAAAGGUCUAUUCAAUACUUUUUUUUUGAAAAACCUAAAUUGAAUGGUGUUGCUGAAGCUCUUUUCAAGAGAUAUUCUUUAAAAUGUUUAACAUGCCACAUACCUUUCUAUUAAUUUGAAAUAGUUUUCAAUACUUUGUGUUCUCUCAUGAUGAAAAAUAGUGUCAAAUGCCAGUCCUUGGUUGUGCAACAUUUUCAGCCAGGGCUGUUGGACUUGUCCUAAAAGAAUUAACCUCAGUGCUGAAACAUUUCCCUCUUCUGCAUUGCUGCUUCUUUUUAUUACAGAAGGGAACAGUCCUCUGUAAUUAUUGGGCAAAAUGUUUUGCCCCUAAGUAAAAUUGUAGAGAGAUUUUUACUUGUCUGUUUGACAUCUGCAAACACAAAAGGGCCAGAGCUGCCGCUUGCAAGUGACUUUCUCUGCAUCACAUUGUGUCCUGUGAAUGUAACAGGAGUGGAGGAGUGAGUGUGUCCCAUACGUUGGUGAGGUUCCUGCUGCCACAAAAUUGUUCUUGCCCAAAAUUACAGCAGGCUACAGCAAGAUUAGUUUGGUCAUUAGAUGAAUAAACUGUGCCAUGAUGCAUCUAGUCUUUUACAAAUCAAUAGCCAGAGCAGGAAUGGCUAUUCGCUUUCUUACAACACACAGUGAAUAAGAUAUUAAUGAAACUUAAAUCCUUCAAAAUUGAAAGGAAACUUUUUUCACACAGUGUGUAUUUUCCUUGGGGAAAUAAUGAAUUCAGGAUACUGUUUGAUAUCUAGAGUUUAAUGGGAUCUAGAAAAGGAGUUGACAGUGAAAACAAAACUCCAGCAGAACCAAACCACAAGCUUACUCAGAUUUGACAUACUGUUAAGUAAAGAAAGAAGCAUUUUAGAGAACAGAUAAAUUCUUAUGCUUCUGACUCUGGGAUCUGGAAGAAUCUUCGCCUGGGACAGAUGUGACCCAACUGUCUCUUGCAGAACUCCUUGAAGUUUUAUGAAAUGACUGUGGCCAAGGACAAAACUCCCGCAUUGCUGGUGAGGAGCAGGAGCUUCCAUUCCUGCUGCCAGAAGGUCUGUGCCGCUGCAGAUGGGGCCUGGUACCUCUUGCCAUAACCUGCUUAGGGCUGGGGAAAGGGAGUAUUGGGCCACCUUCUGCCACCCUCCACCACGGGGCUCUGUGGGACUCCAGGGCUGCCUUUUCUUUCCUGUUGGCUCCCCUUCCAGCAAAUCUUCGUGACAGACACAGCUGAUGCUUCCAGGCACAGUCUUUUUGUCUUUUUGCUGGUAACAAUGCUGAUUGGAAUCCUAAUGAAAAUGUAAUUGAUGCGAUUAGAUUGUCUCUUGUUGAUUCUGAAGUGCAUGUGGUGACAAACCUCCUUUCUGGUGACACACACUGUAAACAAUUUAUUUUCAUUCAUAAAGGAAAUAUGUGACCUCCAAUGUGCCCUUGCUUUACAUCAAAGAUACACUGUUAAGAGUUUUAUCUGAUAAUUAAGACCUAGCAUGAAGAUUAAAUGUUGUAUUUAAUUUAUACAAAUAAUUUCUGUUAAACAGCUUCUGUGAAUGAAACUACCUGAAAUGGAAGCCUUGAAAGUGUUUUAUAGUAAAUGAAGCAUUCAGCAUCUUAGUAUUUACUGCUGAAAUAUGAUUAAUUAUAUAUUAUGCUGUUUACUGUGAAAGCUGGAUGCACUUAAACAUAAACUCUCCUAGAUCUAUAUAAGCUGCCCAACUUGGAUGCUUUUCCAUUCUCUUUUUGGCAGUGAAUUUCAUGUAUUCUAAGUGAAAACUCCAAUCUUUUCUCAUUACUGCUGCAUGUCUAAAUGAAAAUCUCUCUUGUAAUGUUGGGUGUGGUUAUACUUGCUUUAUCAUUGGUGUUUCCAAUAGUUUUGUGGUGGUGAUUUGGAACCUGAAUAGUAGAGACAUCCCAUCUCUAAAGUAAUGGUAAGACCAUAAGAAAAACUGAGUGUCAUGCUACAAAAUUAGGCCCCUUCUACCCCUUCACCCCCCUUACCCCCAAGGCUGAAGUUGGCUGAGCCACAAAUAGUUUAGUUGAGGGGGUUGUUUACAGUCUUAUGCAAAGGGCUUUUAUUCUGCAUAUGUUACAAAUAAUAGCUUUGGACUUAUAGGAAGAUCCUAGAAUGUUACUCUGACAUCUGUAAGUCGUUAUUGGAAGUUACAUUCCAGGUCUAAGGAUCUCUCUGACACCCCCUCCUCCCAGAUCUCUGCUGGAAAAAAAACCCAGCCCCUCUGUGUUUGAAAAAAACGGUUCUGCUAUCUCUUAUAGUAGCUAUGCAGAUAAUCCUUACAGUCAAAGUCCAGCCUCUCUCCUGUGGAUCAACAAUGGCUUAAAUUCGUGACAGUGACUGCGAUAAUAGGAGAAAAUCCCUAACUGUUGGGAGAGCAAAUUGUCUGGUGAACAUAUGUCUAAAUGCUAAAGUUCACAGGCUCUUUAAUCUGAAGUGGCCUGAUUCAGCCACUCUUACUUGUGUCAAAUAAUGUGUGAAUUUUCCCAAUGAGCAGAGCUAAUGGGACUGGGGCCUCAGCUGAGUAAUGCAGGUUCCCACCAGGAACAAAAUGCAGCAUCCUACAGAAUAGUAUGUACUUUUUCGUUGGCUUAUUUUGGCCUGAGUCUCAUCUUUCUUUGAGUCUUGGUGUUUGGCUGGUAUUUGUUCACUAGUACCACUAGGAGAUCUGAACUCGUGUAAACUGGAACAGUGAGGGAUUCCAACUUGCUGCUCUCCAGGCAGAUGACCUUGUUACAGCUCUAGUCAACACAACUUAAACGCUCAAGCAAUUUCAUUAACUCUGAGGGGAACAACUUAUUAACUGAUUUGUAAACACAUCAGCAACUGGUUGAACUGGGGCUUGAUGAAGGUGUGCAUUACGGAUAAAGCCCCCUAAAACCUUCACUGGCAAAGGUGGGUAAGAGGAUACCCUGAAUCAGAGUACCACAAUA